rnacentral:misc_RNA from 1 species
GAUGAAGAACGUAGCAAAAUGCGAUAAGUAAUGUGAAUUGCAGAAUUCAGUGAAUCAUCGAAUCUUUGAACGCACAUUGCGCCCGCCAGUAUUCUGGCGGGCAUGCCUUUUCGAGCGUCAUUUCAACCCUCAAGCACAGCUUGGUGUUGGGACUCGCGUUAAUUCGCGUUCCCCAAAUUGAUUGGCGGUCACGUCGAGCUUCCAUAGCGUAGUAGUAAAACCCUCGUUACUGGUAAUCGUCGCGGCCACGCCGUUAAACCCCAACUUCUGAAUGUUGACCUCGGAUCAGGUAGGAAUACCCGCUGAACUUAAGCAUAUCAAUAAGCGGAGGA